UACAAAGACAAAUUCAUGGGUUUCAUUUCUCUUUUAUAUGAAUAGCUGAAAGCAACCGAGGCAAAAUAGCGUGCCAUAAAUGAUGCGGCCACGAUGAGUAAAUGCGCCGUUGAUUCAGUACAAAUUCCAAAUUUAGUGAGUCCGCAAUGAGAUUACUAAAACAGCUUGUGCAAUGGCGGCAUCGCAACGACAAAUACGCUGUGACGAUAGACUGCGCAUCCAAGAGGAGCAGUUUUCGGCGCCAGGCUACUUCCUGCUUGGUAUCUUAGCAACCAGUGCCAGAUUUGGACAUAAUUGGGAAACAUCCGGUCAACAAAAUACACCUGUCGGUCAGGUCUCAUGAAAAAAUCGAUGCCUUACGACAAAGGAUUAGAGUGAGGUCCAGAAAUAAAUAUAUUUUAAUGACAUUUGAAUUUGAGGCCAUGUCAUCAAAAAUUAAAUAUUGGCCUGAGUGUUUCAAUACAUUUGAGAUGGAUCAUGCAAUCCAAUUACUCAUUGACCAACAAAUGGGACUUUGGACCUCCGUGAAUGUUUCCUGCCCCUCAAAAGAGGAAGUCCAGAUGUCGACGCUUUCUCCAAUAAAACAUUAUCGCUGUUUACAACGGGUCAGUUCUGCAAACCUCAGAUCGACAAAUAUCCGCGCUCACCCGUUACGGAUGAAUUAGCGUUUCUCAGCGAGUUGUGACUCACGGCAUCUUGUGACUGCGGAUUCUUUCCAACCCGCUCACGUCACUUUAAACACUUUGAGGAAAGGAUGCCAUUCAUCAAUAAGGUGAUAUAGAACUGGGAGCCGUUGCUGUGUGGCCCCUUGUUGGCCAUACCCAGAGUGCCUCGCUUGGCGUGAGAAAGAGCGAAGCUCUCAUCUGAACGCAGACAAACAGAAGCCUCCGGCUGGUCGCACGUGAAAGCCCACUGGUCUUUGGCCCAGGUGACGAGAGCAUCGUUGUCCCCAAUGAACUGGCCAUCCACAAAGCACAUGACGCCA